rnacentral:rRNA from 1 species
GAUGAACGCUGGCGGCGUGCCUAAUACAUGCAAGUCGAGCGAACAGACGAGGAGCUUGCUCCUCUGACGUUAGCGGCGGACGGGUGAGUAACACGUGGAUAACCUACCUAUAAGACUGGGAUAACUUCGGGAAACCGGAGCUAAUACCGGAUAAUAUAUUGAACCGCAUGGUUCAAUAGUGAAAGACGGUUUUGCUGUCACUUAUAGAUGGAUCCGCGCCGCAUUAGCUAGUUGGUAAGGUAACGGCUUACCAAGGCGACGAUGCGUAGCCGAACUGAGAGGGUGAUCGGCCACACUGGAGCUGGGCCGCGGUCCAGACUACUACGGGAGGCAGCAGUAGGGAAUCUUCCGCAAUGGGCGAAAGCCUGACGGAGCGACGCCGCGUGAGUGAUGGAGGCCUUCGGAUCGUAAAACUCUGUUAUUAGGGAAGAACAAAUGUGUAAGUAACUAUGCACGUCUUGACGGUACCUAAUCAGAAAGCCACGGCUAACUACGUG